rnacentral:rRNA from 1 species
GAUGAACGCUGGCGGCGUGCCUCAAACAUGCAAGUCGAGCGGGGCUAUGUAAUAUCGCAAGGUAGAACAUAGCCUAGCGGCGAACGGGUGAGUAACACGUGGGGUAACCUGCCUGGAAGACAGGGAUAACGAUUCGAAAGGGUCGCUAAUACCUGAUAAUAUCCUUUCAUCGCAUGGUGAUAGGAAGAAAGGGGAAACCCGCUUUCAGAUGGGCCCGCGUCCCAUCAGCUAGUUGGUAAGGUAAAGGCUUACCAAGGCGACGACGGGUAGCCGGUCUGAGAGGAUGUACGGCCACACUGGGACUGAGAUACGGCCCAGACUCCUACGGGAGGCAGCAGUUGGGAAUCUUAGGCAAUGGACGAAAGUCUGACCUAGCGACGCCGCGUGAGGGAAGAAGGCCUUCGGGUUGUAAACCUCUGUCAUGGGGGAAGAAGUAAGUGACGGUACCCCAAGAGGAAGCCCCUGCUAACUACGUG